AAGGAUGAGAGGGGUGGGCAGGGAAUUUAGAGUCUACGUCUUUCUGUACCCUGUUCUCCCCUCCCCCACUGCAUCUUUGACUCCAAUCUUCCUUAACAAAUUUUGGCAACUACUUUUCCAGCUGAAGUUGCAAAUUUUGCAAUCUUUGGCUUAACAGGUCAAAUACAUAAAUAUCUGCAAGAACUAUUUAUUUUUUUAAUAUUGCACAAAACUUCUCUUCUCAUUCUUUUAUCUUUCCUUUGCGAAUAAAACUACAAUUUGCCAAAUGACAGUUUUGAAAAAGGUUCAGCUCAGAGCCAUGCUUUAGUGCAAAACACUUCAGAUCUGUUUUUGUUUCCUGACCUCUUAGGGGUAGUUAUUUACACAACGUCUAACCCAAACCACGGUUUUAAGCAAGCAGUGAGCCUCAGGUAUUCUCUAUAAGAAGGUUGAUUUAAUUAAAUACAUGUUAUUUCCACUGUUAGCUUUUGAACCUCUUGACACUGUUCACAUAAAAAAAAAGUUGGUUGGACUAAAUUGAUGAUAGUUUAGAAUGAGGUUUUGUUAAACAAUGGCUAAGCUUUGUUUAAAUAACCGGCCUUUAACCCUUUAACUCCCAUAAUUGACCAAGAGAGAAUUUCUCCCUACAAUAUCAAUACAAUAUCAAGCAGACAAGUGAUGAGAAUAGAGGAAAAUAUUAAUUUGGGGAUUAUUAGUUGAUCCAAUACCAAAUUCUCCAAAUUAACAUAACAAGAACUAUACAGCAAACAGUAGGGAGAAUUACAAAUGAGAUCUUGGGAAUGAAAGGGUUAA